CUGUGACGUCCAGGUCCAGGUCAGGCGCCUCGGCCAGUGGUACCUGGUGGUGAUCCCAGCCCCACUGGGCCCUGCAGGAGCAGGGGAGGGGGCCCCGGGAGGCGCCCAGGCCUCUCCACUCCCAAGGGCUCAGCCACAACCCUGC